rnacentral:rRNA from 1 species
GAUGAACGCUAGCUACAGGCUUAACACAUGCAAGUCGAGGGGCAGCAUGAAAGGAACUUCGGUUCUUUUUGAUGGCGACCGGCGCACGGGUGCGUAACGCGUAUCGAACCUGCCUCAUACUCGGGGAUAGCCUUGCGAAAGUAAGAUUAAUACCCGGCGGUCUCGGAUGGCCGCAUGACUAUCCGAGUGAAGAUUUAUCGGUAUGAGAUGGCGAUGCGUCCCAUUAGCUUGUUGGUGAGGUAACGGCUCACCAAGGCAUCGAUGGGUAGGGGUUCUGAGAGGAAGGUCCCCCACAUUGGAACUGAGACACGGUCCAA